rnacentral:misc_RNA from 1 species
AAGGAGUCUAACAUGCUUGCGAGUAUUUGGGUGUCAAACCCGGAUGCGUAAUGAAAGUGAAUGGAGGUGGGAAGCCCAAGCUGCACCAUCGACCGAUCUGGAUUUUCUAAGAUGGAUUUGAGUAAGAGCACGUAUGUUGGGACCCGAAAGAUGGUGAACUAUGCCUGAAUAGGGCGAAGCCAGAGGAAACUCUGGUGGAGGCUCGUAGCGGUUCUGACGUGCAAAUCGAUCGUCAAAUUUGGGUAUAGGGGCGAAAGACUAAUCGAACCAUCUAGUAGCUGGUUCCUGC